UUGUUUUUGUUUUUUGGUGUUUCCUAUUUUGUUUCUUGUUCUUUAGAUGAUGAAUGAAAUGCUGCAUUUAUAGAGAGUUGGCUGAACAAAGUUGGAUAAAGAUUUGGCAUUGUUCAAUGGAUAUUGUUCAAAAAUCAAAAAGAUGGUGAAAGGUACAAGUAGCCUUUUACUCUAGUGUUAGUACCUUAGGAUUGUCAUUAAUUUUGUAAA
rnacentral:lncRNA from 1 species